rnacentral:rRNA from 1 species
UUGCUCCCCUUAGGUCAGCGGCGGACGGGUGAGUAACACGUGGGUAACCUGCCUGUAAGACUGGGAUAACUCCGGGAAACCGGGGCUAAUACCGGAUGCUUGAUUGAACCGCAUGGUUCAAUCAUAAAAGGGGCUUUUAGCUACCACUUCAGAUGGACCCCGGGCAUUACUAGUUGGGAGGAACGGCUCCCAAGGGACGAUGCGUAGCCGACCUGAAGGGUGAUCGGCCCCUGGGACUGAACACGGCCCAACUCCUACGGGAGGCAGCAGUAGGGAAUCUUCCCAAUGGACGAAAGUCUGACGGAGCAACCCGCGGAGUGAUGAAGGUUUUCGGAUCGUAAAACUCUGUUGUUAGGGAAAACAAGUACCGUUCAAUAGGGGGACCUUGACGGUACCUAACCAAAAGCCACGGUAACUACGUGCCACAGCCGCGGAAUACGUAGGGGCAAGCGUUGUCCGGAAUUAUUGGGCGUAAAGCGCGCCAGGCGGUUUCUUAAGUCUGAUGUGAAAGCCCCCGGCUCACCGGGGAGGGUCAUUGGAAACUGGGGAACUUGAGUGCA